rnacentral:rRNA from 1 species
AACGCUAGCUACAGGCUUAACACAUGCAAGUCGAGGGGCAGCAUGAACUUAGCUUGCUAAGUUUGAUGGCGACCGGCGCACGGGUGAGUAACGCGUAUCCAACCUUCCGUACACUCAGGAAUAGCCUUUCGAAAGAAAGAUUAAUACCUGAUGGUAUGAUGAGAUUGCAUGAAAUCAUCAUUAAAGAUUCAUCGGUGUACGAUGGGGAUGCGUUCCAUUAGAUAGUAGGCGGGGUAACGGCCCACCUAGUCGACGAUGGAUAGGGGUUCUGAGAGGAAGGUCCCCCACAUUGGAACUGAGACACGGUCCAAACUCCUACGGGAGGCAGCAGUGAGGAAUAUUGGUCAAUGGGCGCGAGCCUGAACCAGCCAAGUAGCGUGAAGGAUGAAGGUCCUACGGAUUGUAAACUUCUUUUAUAAGGGAAUAAAGUCACCUACGUGUAGGUGUUUGUAUGUACCUUAUGAAUAAGCAUCGGCUAACUCCGUGCCAGCAGCCGCGGUAAUACGGAGGAUGCGAGCGUUAUCCGGAUUUAUUGGGUUUAAAGGGAGCGUAGACGGGUCGUUAAGUCAGCUGUGAAAGUUUGAGGCUCAACCUUAAAAUUGCAGUUGAUACUGGCGUCCUUGAGUACGGUUGAGGCAGGCGGAAUUCGUGGUGUAGCGGUGAAAUGCUUAGAUAUCACGAAGAACUCCGAUUG